rnacentral:lncRNA from 1 species
UAUGACUGGAACUUAAAAUGGCCAUAACUUUUUACCCGGUUAUCAUAUUUAGGCGAAUCUUAUAUAGUUAGAAAGUUUAUUCAAUUUCCUACGUCAUGGAAAGUUCAAAUCUAAAUAAUUCCACUAAAAUUAAACAUUAUUUAUUAUAAAAUCUAAUCCUUAACAUUUUUUAGGAUGAGUUUAAGCUAGGGAAAUCGCGGGGUAUUACACUCCUUAGGUUCUUUAGUUUGGAAGAAUGGAACCCUAGUAUUGACCCUUUUCUUGAAAUCUUAAAC